GUGGCUACUAUGCCAACUGGUGGAUAGCUCGGCUCGAGUGCCGAUGAAGGACGUGCCAAGCUGCGAUAAGCUCAGGGGAGCCGCACGGAGGCGAAGAACCUGAGAUUUCCGAAUGGGAAUCCCCACCGCAAUUGCUUCGCGCAAUGGGGAACGCCGGGAACUGAAACAUCUCAGUACCGGCAGGAAGAGAAACCGAACGGGAUGUCGUUACUAACGGCGAGUGAACGCGACACUGUCCAAACCGAAGCUCACGGGGCUUUGCCCCACGAGCAAUGUGGUGUUCGGACUGGCUCUCAGCACCGGAUCGUCUGUGUGAAGUCUCCUGGAACGGAGCGUGAGACAGGGUGAAAACCCCGUAACACAGGCUAGUACGAUGUGCGUCAGCUCCAGAGUAUCGGGGGUUGGAUAUCCCUCGUGAAUAUGGCCGGCAUCGACGGCCAAGACUAAACACAUCUCGAGACCGAUAGUGAACAAGUAGCGUGAGCGAACGCUGAAAAGCACCCCACAAAGGGAGGUGCAAUAGGGCUUGAACUCAGUUGGCGAUCGAGCGACGGGGCAUGAAAGGCGUCUCGGUGAACGACCCGGGGGCGACCCCGCAGUAGCAGCCGAGACGAGCCGAUGUUCCGUCGUGCGUUUUGAAAAACGAGCCAGGGAGUGUGUCUGCUUGACGAGUCUAACCCGAUCAUCGGGGAAGGCGUAGGGAAACCGACAUGGCCGCAGUGCGNCGUACGAGGGCCGCCGUGUUCAAGCGCGGGGAGUCGAGCGGACACGACCCGAAUCCGGACGAUCUACACGAUGGCAAGGUGAAGCGUGGCGAAAGCUGCGUGGAGGCCUGUUAGGGAUGGUGUCCUACAAUACCCUCCCGUGACCAGUGUGUAGGGGUGAAAGGCCCAUCGAGUCCGGCAACAGCUGGUUCCGACCGAAACAUGUCGAAGCAUGACCUCCGCCGAGGUAGUUCGUGGGGUAGAGCGACCGAUUGGAGGGACCGACUCCGAGAGGAGUCGGCCCUCCUGUCGAACUCCGAACCUACGAACGCCGUCGACGCGGGGAGAGCGGUGUGCGGGGUAAGCCUGUGCACCAUGAGGGAGACAACCCAGAGCUUGGUUGAGGUCCCCAAGUGUGGACUAAGUGCGAUCGAAGGUGGUUCCGAGCCAUAGACAGCCGGGAGGUGAGCUUAGAAGCAGCUACCCGCUAAGAAAAGCGUAACAGCUUACCGGCCGAGGUUUGGAGCGCCGAAAAUGAUCGGGGCUCAAGUCCACCACCGAGACCUAGCGGCGCACUGUAUAGUGCGAUCCAGUAGGUCGGCGCUCCGUUUGGGUGGAAGUACGGACGAGAGUUCGUAUGGACCGAACGGUGACGAUAAUCCUGGCCACAGUAGCAGCGGUAGUCGGGUUAGAAUCCCGACGGCCUCACGGACAAGGGUUCCUCGGCAAUGUUCGUCAACCGAGGGUUAGCCGGUCCUCAGUC
rnacentral:rRNA from 1 species